UACAGAGGUCCCAAGCGUUGUUCGGAUUCACUGGGCGUAAAGGGUGCGUAGGCGGUCGGGUAAGUCUGAUGUGAAAUCUCACAGCUUAACUGUGAAACUGCAUUGGAUACUAUUCGGCUUGAGAGUUGGAGGGGGGACUGGAAUUCUUGGUGUAGCAGUGAAAUGCGCAGAUAUCAGGAGGAACACCGGUGGCGAAGGCGGGUCUCUGGGGCCGAUACUGACGCUGAGGAGCGAAAGCGUGGGGAGCGAACAGG
rnacentral:rRNA from 1 species